GAUGAACGCUGGCGGCGUGCCUAAUACAUGCCAGUCGAGCGAACAGACGAGGAGCUUGCUCCUUUGACGUUAGCGGCGGACGGGUGAGUAACACGUAGGUAACCUACCUAUAAGACUGGGAUAACUUCGGGAAACCGGAGCUAAUACCGGAUAAUAUUUCGAACCGCAUGGUUCGAUAGUGAAAGAUGGCUUUGCUAUCACUUAUAGAUGGACCUGCGCCGUAUUAGCUAGUUGGUAAGGUAACGGCUUACCAAGGCAACGAUACGUAGCCGACCUGAGAGGGUGAUCGGCCGCACUGGAACUGAGACACGGUCCAGACUCCUACGGGAGGCAGCAGUAGGGAAUCUUCCGCAAUGGGCGAAAGCCUGACGGAGCAACGCCGCGUGAGUGAUGAAGGUCUUCGGAUCGUAAAACUCUGUUAUUAGGGAAGAACAAACGUGUAAGUAACUGUGCACGUCUUGACGGUACCUAAUCAGAAAGCCACGGCUAACUACGUG
rnacentral:rRNA from 1 species